CAACAUUCCAUCGGAGAUGCUACGCG
rnacentral:piRNA from 1 species